AGAUGCUGACGAGCGGCGGACGGGUGAGUAAUGCAUAGGAAACUGCCCAGUAGUGGGGGAUAGCCCGGGGAAACCCGGAUUAAUACCGCGUACGCCCUUCGGGGGAAAGCAGGGGAUCUUCGGACCUUGCGCUAUUGGAUGAGCCUGCGUCGGAUUAGCUAGUUGGUGGGGUAAAGGCCUACCAAGGCGACGAUCCGUAGCUGGUCUGAGAGGAUGAUCAGCCACACUGGGACUGAGACACG
rnacentral:rRNA from 1 species